UACGGCCAUUUCACGUUAAAACACCAGUUCACGUACGAUCAGUGUAGUUAAGCAACAUUAAGCCUAGUUAGUACUGAGAUGGGUAACCGUUUGAGAAAUCCUGAGGCUGUAAGC